rnacentral:rRNA from 1 species
GUCGAGAAUCUUUCACAAUGGGGGCAACCCUGAUGGAGCGACGCCGCGUGGAGGAUAAGGUCUUCGGAUUGUAAACUCCUGUCAUGCGUGAACAAGGUUGCUUGGUUAAUACCUGGGCAAAUUGAUGGUAACGCAAGAGGAAGAGACGGCAAACUCUGUGCCAGCAGCCGCGGUAAUACAGAGGUCUCAAGCGUUGUUCGGAAUUAUUGGGCGUAAAGGGCGCGUAGGCGGGAAGGUGUGUCAACCUGUAAAUCUAUCGUUUCAAGCGGUAGGCUUGUGUUGAAACUGCCUUUCUAGAGGAUUUCAGGGGAGUUUGGAAUUUACGGUGUAGCAGUGAAAUGCGUGGAUAUCGUAAGGAAGGCUUGUGGCGAAGGCGAAACUCUGGGGAAUACCUGACGCUGAGGCGCGAAGGCUAGGUUAGCAAACGGGAUUAGAAACCCGUGUAGUCC